UACGGAGGGGGCUAGCGUUGUUCGGAAUUACUGGGCGUAAAAGCGCGCGUAGGCGGACCUGCAAGUCGGGGGUGAAAGCCCGAGGCUCAACCUCGGAACUGCCUUCGAUACUGCGGGUCUCGAGUCCGGGAGAGGUGAGUGGAAUUCCUAGUGUAGAGGUGAAAUUCGUAGAUAUUAGGAAGAACACCAGUGGCGAAGGCGGCUCACUGGCCCGGUACUGACGCUGAGGCGCGAAAGCGUGGGGAGCAAACAGG
rnacentral:rRNA from 1 species